UCUCGAUAGCGUAAAAGUUAACUCAUGUUUUUAUGGAGUUGGAAUGUUUGCCUACGUUUGCAGCUGGGGGCGCUGUUCAAAGUGCUUACAAAUUUGAGCUAACUUUUACGCUAUCGA
rnacentral:pre_miRNA from 9 species